UUCUGCCUGCCAUAAACUGUUUCUCCUCCACAAUACUUAUCUGUCAUGAAACCCUGUCUUGGAGCCAGCUCAUUAUGGACUUGAAACCUCUACAAACUGCUUUGAUCUCUCUGGCUCUGUCUGCUGGUCAGUGUGAAGGCCGAGGAGUAUUGGAGUCUGGUGCAAAAUUAAACUCCUGAGAAUCUGCACCCAUUUACACCUCAGCUUAGCAGGCAUGAGCAAAUAUGAGCAAACACCACAUGACAGGAAACACUUUGAUCUUCAGGAUUCAGAGAAAAAAGGCAGAAAGAAAAAUCAACCUAUGGCUUCUUUAAUUAAAGUCUGCAUUCCUGCUGGUAUAUUUUAGGAAGACAUUAGAGUGCCAGCAAGGAACCACUAGGAUAAUGUCACAGUUCUCUUCAUUGGCAAGAACACAAGGACUAAAGAUUUUAUCUGACUUUUUGAUUUUUAUACUUAAGGAAAAAAGUAAACUCCAGAUAUCUUCCUCCCCAUCUCGAAAAUGCCAAGCAUUCAUUAUUUAUUUGGUGUGAGACAUCCAGACCCAUUUUGAUUUCAGUCUAAUUUUUCAUGAUAAAUAAAAAUAAAGGUGGGGAACUUUAGGGUUAUUUUCCCAAAUGUGAAACCAGACAGAGUCAGGAAGAGAAGCCGUAUGUUUGCCUUCUGGUUUCUUUUCUUCUUCACACUUAGGAAAGAAGACUUCACCCUAGAAAGAACACUGAUAAGGUUGAGUCAUUUAAUCCCAGACCCUGUUGUCAUUUCCACCAAAAUAAAACACUGAGGCUAAGAUUCCUCAGGCAAAACUUGA